UUUUUAACAUUAUGUCACUUUUUUCCAGAGAAUAUUCGCAACAAUUUAUGCAGAAAAAUGUAUGCCAUUGCCGUUGCGAAACCAAAGUUUACCUGCAUAUUUCCUUUGGACUUACAAAGAAACGAAGAUUACGUCCUCCCCGAAAGGAACUAAAAAAACAAACAAGUCAUUCAAACGACCUGAAUUCUGCUGUUCGUAUAAGCAGCGAAGUUAAACAAUUUUAAUGAUCAAAUUAAUUGCUCCGUUUUAUACAGAUAAGCAAUACUUUGAGAUUUACAUGGAAGAUUUAAGAAGUACAUAGUAAGUUCCCGUGUUUGAGGAAGAAGAGAAAUAAAAUAGAAAUGAGAAUGUAUCAUGGACAGGUAACGUUUAAACGCAUUCCAGGUCGUAGAAUGGAAACCGCAUAUGGGAUUAUCCUUUACCGUGGUACAAUUACAAAUUUCAUGCUGGCACUUAACGCUAUGCAAAGUCUAACAGCUAGGCAGCAUUUACGGUUUCGACGUAAAUAACGGGUGGCAGAUAGCAGUUGGAUGAUAGAUAAAAAAGAAGAGAAGAACUCGCAGGCAGAGCAGACGGGAGAAGAACGUGAGGGCUGAGCCCUUAGUUAAUACGAGACAGGGAAUGCCGGACAAGAGAAGAAGAAGAAGAAGAAGGGAAGGUUAGGGGAACGAAGUCCGGACACCUAGGAGGUAUGUACGAGCAGAGAGAACGAAAAGAGACAACAGGCCUGUAGGUAUUAUAAAUCAAGAAGAGGUCCGUAAAGGGAACGUCGGUGGCGAAGGCGAAAGAAGAGCGAAGAAGAAACUCGCGAUGGAGGACGAGGGGAAGGUACACACAGGGGUAAGGGAUAAGGGAAGGCACGGUCGUACAUCACUGGCGGUAUUUACGACGUACCAUCGUAAAUCAAUGAUCGCACGAACAGCGCGGUUCAACGAAAUUCCUCUUCCCUUCCUAUAUGCUCUCCCUUACCUUUCAUCCCCUUCCUUCCGACCAUUCCCUCGCUUCCUGUACACGGCCCGAUGUGAGAAUCUGUCCAGCCAUACAUCGCCUCAGACGACGGAUGCUGAAGUCUAAGAAUCUUUGAAGGAAUCCUUGCCCUUACAACCGCCCAAGAUAUAUCGACGAAUUAUCCGCCAAGACAAAAACAAUUUGUCUUCGGUAUCAGAAUUUUCGAGCGUAAGACGAAUUCAUCGGCCCUGCUCGUUUCCUAAGGCGAUUUAUGCAACCAUCCUGCCAGAUUUUAUGUCACGUUUUUAACCCCUUCAUCUGACGCAUAGUUGUGGAGCUCUGGAUUAUGGCCAGACUGCGGUUAACUUAUGGCUACUCAUGGAUCGUUAUCACUUUGGGAAGCUUUAGGAAGUUUAGCUGAAUUUUCAUUCUUUACAGAUGGAUUUUACGGGACUGUUCUUGUAAUCUGUAAUGUGAAUGUGUAUACUGAGAUUGUCCCUAGAUCUGUAUGCUAAGGUUCUUAGAUUUCAAGUUCAUAGGUUUUGGGAUUCCAAAAUUCUGAAGUUUCUAUGUUUAUAGGCUGCUAAAUUUUGGGGUUCUGAGAUUCCAAGAUUCCAAUAUCCCAAAAUUUUUAAUUCCAAGAUACCAAGGUUCCAAGAUCCCAAGAUUCCAUGAAUCCAAGAUCCCAAGCUGAUCAAAAUUGCAAGGUUCUAAAGAUUCCUGCAGUUCCUAAAGUUUCUGAGGUUCCCAAGGUUCCUAAGGCUCCAAACUUCCAAAGAUUCCAAGUUUCCACAUACCUAAGACUCCAAAGUGCCCAAACUCAGAAAAUGAAAAAAUUCUCAGAUCCCAAAAUUCCAAGAUUCUAACAUUCCAAGAUUCCAACAUCCACAAAAUUCUAAAAUUCCAAGAUUCCAUGGUCCCCAAUAACUAAACUUUAACUCUCAGGUUUCAGGACUCCUUAGAUCCCAAGAUCCCUAUAUCUCCACAUUCCUAUAUCCUCAAAUCCCUCUAUCCCUCUAAGCCCCCACAUCUCUACAAUCCAAAUCUAUGUCCCCAUAGAACUUCAUCCCUUCAUAGUUCAUCAACCUUGACCUCCCAUCAAAUAGAAACCACAAACCCGUCUUCCAUAGACAAGGAAAUCAACCCAUAAGGUUAACAGUAUUGAAACUAUUUCACUUUUCUCCUACCAAGUACUAAAUAUCUACUCUAACCUACUUCAUAAUCCUAAACCAACAGAUUAAACCGUAUCGUUUAGCAUCCUCCCACGCUGUUAACGAGGAGCCUCUUCCGGUUCGACACAUUUGGUAAACAGAAACGAAGCACUCGAAAAAAGUUACAGAACGGAUCAAAGCGACCGUAUGCCUCCCAAAGAGAGGCAGAAACGUAAAAGGUCAGUUGCAGG